GGACUGUGGCUAAUCUGCAUAUGCACAUUAGCUCUAUUACCUAUUAGCGUACAAAAAGGGCCUGGAAGUAGGAAAAGAACUACAUUUCCCAUCUGCCCUGGCUGUCACAGGCUAAUAGCACCAGCUGCUUUCCAUUGCCCUAAGGAGUGAUUCUACUGCGGCAACGAGACCAAAUACAACGAGAGAUUCUUACUGAGGUGCUGUUUUCCACAUGCAGUGCUUGGCUGUGUUGGAGGCCACCAAGAAAGACUUCCUGGCUGUCAUGUGGAAGCUAAGUGGGCUGGGGUCAAAAGGGUUUCUGGCCAUGGUGCUUGUGCUGCAGUGAUCUUGUUCUCCAUCACACUCCAACACAGGUAGCCAUCUUCACCCUCUCCCAAGAGGUGAUGGUACGACUCUGAAUAAACACUCUAUUAUUAUAAAUAAAGUGUGACUGUGUCUUGUAGUCCACCCACCAACCUUUUUCUGUUCAGUGGUUUGACUUGUGCUACACAGAGAUGGACCAGCAAACAGAUUUAAAGGCUGUUGUGAAUGAUGGGUUACAGAAAUGUCUUCCUGUGUUUAUUAUUAUUUGAAGUUAUAUAUUCUGAUUUGUAAGCAAGAUUAUGAAGUCUCCUUUUGCUAAUCAUUUUACAGCAUUAUUAAAAAGUCCAUGUACACAAUGUU
ensembl:lncRNA